UACGUAGGGGGGCAAGCGUUGUUCGGAAUUACUGGGCGUAAAGGGCGCGUAGGCGGCACGGCAAGUCGGGAGUGAAAGCCCGGGGCUCAACCCCGGAGGGUCUUCCGAAACUGCCGGGCUAGAGUGCGGAAGAGGCAACCGGAAUUCCCAGUGUAGCGGUGAAAUGCGUAGAUAUUGGGAAGAACACCGGAGGCGAAGGCGGGUUGCUGGGCCGACACUGACGCUGAGGCGCGAAAGCCAGGGGAGCAAACGGG
rnacentral:rRNA from 1 species